CUCGUAGGCGGCCAACUAAGUCGGACGUGAAAUCCCUCGGCUUAACCGGGGAACUGCGUCCGAUACUGGAUGGCUUGAGUUCGGGAGAGGGAUGCGGAAUUCCAGGUGUAGCGGUGAAAUGCGUAGAUAUCUGGAGGAACACCGGUGGCGAAGGCGGCAUCCUGGACCGACACUGACGCUGAGGAGCGAAAGCCAGGGGAGCAAACGGGAUUAGAUACCCCGGUAGUCCUGGCCCUAAACGAUGAAUGCUUGGUGUGGCGGGUAUCGAUCCCUGCCGUGCCGAAGCUAACGCAUUAAGCAUUCCGCCUGGGGAGUACGGUCGCAAGGCUAGAA
rnacentral:rRNA from 1 species